AUAUGAUGCGCCCCAGAUGCGCUCGGUUUGUGCAUUCCGGACACGACCUGGUUGAGCUCGAUCCGUUUCCAGGCCUGCCGGCGACUCCAUGACAUUCCCCAGCAUGGCAGAGCUGUGAGGUUGAUGUAAGGUUGGAUGAAACUAUUCCUCUCCCUGGGUCGGAGCUGGCUUUUUGGGACAUGAACCAUCUUAGACCUGGGAUCGUAAAAGACCAACCAUUACAACAUAACAUUGUGAAAGAUCAGCUUUUAUUAGACAAAGAUACUAAUCAAUAUGUGUCCAUCCAGUCGGUUGUAUAGCAAAAUGUUUUUAAGUGUUUUAUUGUCUUAUAAGCAUCAAAAUCCAUGAAUCUAUUGUCAUAUCUCAAUAAAGAAGCAUCGACAACCAAA